AUUUGUUUUAACGCAUCUUCACCUUUAGCGCCGGUUUGUUGUACGAAUUCGGCAUAGUAAGGUUUCAUUGCAUCUUUAAACGGUACAAGAUCAGGAUGGGUAACGGUUACGCCUUGU
rnacentral:antisense_RNA from 1 species